rnacentral:rRNA from 1 species
AUGCCGCGUGUGUGAAGAAGGCCUUCGGGUUGUAAAGCACUUUUAUCAGGAGCGAAAACCUGUCGGUUAAUACCCGGCGGGCCUGACGGUACCUGAGGAAUAAGCACCGGCUAACUUCGUGCCAGCAGCCGCGGUAAUACGAAGGGUGCAAGCGUUAAUCGGAAUUACUGGGCGUAAAGCGUGCGUAGGCGGUUUGUUAAGUCUGCUGUGAAAUCCCCGGGCUCAACCUGGGAAUGGCAGUGGAUACUGGCAGGCUAGAGUGUGUCAGAGGGUGGUGGAAUUCCCGGUGUAGCGGUGAAAUGCGUAGAGAUCGGGAGGAACAUCAGUGGCGAAGGCGGCCACCUGGGACAACACUGACGCUGAGGCACGAAAGCGUGGGGAGCAAACAGGAUUAG